rnacentral:rRNA from 1 species
GACGAACGCUGGCGGCGUGCUUAACACAUGCAAGUCGAACGCUGAAGCUUGGUGCUUGCGCUGUACGGAUGAGUGGCGAACGGGUGAGUAAUACGUGAGUAACCUGCCCUUGACUCUGGGAUAAGCCUGGGAAACGGGGUCUAAUACUGGAUACGACAUGUCACCGCAGGGUGGUGUGUGGAGAGGGUUUUAAUGGUUUUGGAUGGGCUCACGGCCUAUCAGCUUGUUGGUGGGGUAAUGGCUCACCAAGGCGACGACGGGUAGCCGGCCUGAGAGGGUGACCGGCCACACUGGGACUGAGACACGGCCCAGACUCCUACGGGAGGCAGCAGUGGGGAAUAUUGCACAAUGGGCGGAAGCCUGAUGCAGCGACGCCGCGUGAGGGAUGACGGCCUUCGGGUUGUAAACCUCUUUCAGCACGGAAGAAGCGAAAGUGACGGUACGUGCAGAAGAAGCGCCGGCUAACUACGUG